rnacentral:rRNA from 1 species
CCGGGGGCGGCAGCUACGCAUGCAGUCGAACGGAGUUAGUUGGUAGCACUGAGCUAUCAGCCAUCAGCAAUCAGCAGAGAAGGACUUUGGUCUUUUAUGCUUAAAGCUGUUAGCUGACAGCUGAGAGCUAUCAGCUAACUUAGUGGCGGACGGGUGAGUAACACGUAGGUAACCAACCCUCAAGCGGGGGACAACUCUUCGAAAGGAGAGCUAAUACCGCAUAAGCUCACGGACUGGGAUGUUUGUGAGAAAAGGAGCAAUUCACUUGAGGAUGGGCCUGCGGCCUAUCAGGUAGUUGGUAAGGUAAUGGCUUACCAAGCCAAAGACGGGUAGCCGGACUGAGAGGUUGAACGGCCACACUGGAACUGAGACACGGUCCAGACUCCUACGGGAGGCAGCAGUGGGGAAUUUUGCGCAAUGGGGGAAACCCUGACGCAGCGACGCCGCGUGGAGGAUGAAGGUCUUCGGAUUGUAAACUCCUUUUGUCGGGGAAGAUAAUGACGGUACCCGAUGAAUAAGCCACGGCUAACUCUGUGCCAGCAGCCGCGGUAAGACAGAGGUGGCAAGCGUUGUUCGGAAUUACUGGGCUUAAAGGGCGCGUAGGCGGUGGAGUAAGUCUGAGGUGGAAGAUUAGGGCUUAACCCUAAAACUGCCUUGGAAACUGCAUCACUUGAGUCAGCGAGGGGAUGGCGGAAUUCCAGGUGUAGCGGUGAAAUGCGUAGAUAUCUGGAGGAAGGCCGGUGGCGAAGGCGGCCAUCUGGCGCUGAACUGACGCUGAGGCGCGAAAGCGUGGGGAGCAAACAGGAUUAGAUACCCUGGUAGUCCACGCCCUAAACGGUGGGUACUAGGUGUAGGGCUCGUAAGGGUUCUGUGCCGUAGGGAAACCAUUAAGUACCCCGCCUGGGGAGUACGGCCGCAAGGUUGAAACUCAAGGAAUUGACGG